UAAUACGGAGGAUGCAAGCGUUAUCCGGAAUUAUUGGGCGUAAAGCGUCCGCAGGUGGCUUAGGAAGUCUGCUGUCAAAGCGCGGAGCUUAACUUCGUACCGGCAGUGGAAACUCCUAGACUAGAGUUUGGUAGGGGUCACGGGAAUUCCCAGUGUAGCGGUGAAAUGCGUAGAGAUUGGGAAGAACACCAGCGGCGAAAGCGCGUGACUGGGCCUGAACUGACACUCAUGGACGAAAGCUAGGGGAGCGAAAGGGAUUAGAUACCCCUGUAGUCCUAGCCGUAAACGAUGACAACUAGGUGUUGCCCGUAUCGACCCGGGCAGUGCCGUAGCCAACGCGUUAAGUUGUCCGCCUGGGGAGUACGCACGCAAGUGU
rnacentral:rRNA from 1 species